UGCGCAGGUGGGCUUGUAAGUCAGUGGUGACAUACUGCCGCUUAACGGUAGAACUGCCAUUGAUACUGCAAGUCUUGAAUAUGGUUGAGGUAGGCGGAAUGUGUCGUGUAGCGGUGAAAUGCAUAGAUAUGACACAGAACGCCGAUUGCGAAGGCAGCUUACUAAGCCAUUAUUGACGCUGAGGCACGAAAGCGUGGGGAGCGAACAGGAUUAGAUACCCUGGUAGUCC
rnacentral:rRNA from 1 species